rnacentral:tRNA from 1 species
GGUGGCAUAGCCAAGUGGUAAGGCAGUGGCCUGCAAAGCCUCCAUCCCCAGUUCAAAUCUGGGUGCCACCU